rnacentral:rRNA from 1 species
CCUAGUAACGGCGAGUGAAGCGGCAACAGCUCAAAUUUGAAAUCUGGCGUCUUUGGCGUCCGAGUUGUAAUUUGCAGAGGGCGCUUUGGCAUUGGCAGCGGUCCAAGUUCCUUGGAACAGGACGUCACAGAGGGUGAGAAUCCCGUACGUGGUCGCUAGCCUUUACCGUGUAAAGCCCCUUCGACGAGUCGAGUUGUUUGGGAAUGCAGCUCUAAAUGGGAGGUAAAUUUCUUCUAAAGCUAAAUACUGGCCAGAGACCGAUAGCGCACAAGUAGAGUGAUCGAAAGAUGAAAAGCACUUUGGAAAGAGAGUUAAAAAGCACGUGAAAUUGUUGAAAGGGAAGCGCUUGCAGCCAGACUUGCCUGUAGUUGCUCAUCCGGGUUUUUACCCGGUGCACUCUUCUAUGGGCAGGCCAGCAUCAGUUUGGGCGGUUGGAUAAAGGUCUCUGUCACGUACCUCCUCUCGGGGAGAACUUAUAGGGGAGACGUAAUGCAACCAGCCUGGACUGAGGUCCGCGCAUCUGCUAGGAUGCUGGCGUAAUGGCUGUAAGCGGCCCGUCUUGAAACACGGACCAAGGAGUCUAACAUCUAUGCGAGUGUUUGGGUGUCAAGCCCGAGCGCGUAAUGAAAGUGAACGGAGGUGGGAACCUUUCGGGGUGCACCAUCGACCGAUCCUGAUGUCUUCGGAUGGAUUUGAGUAAGAGCAUAGCUGUUGGGACCCGAAAGAUGGUGAACUAUGCUUGAAUAGGGUGAAGCCAGAGGAAACUCUGGUGGAGGCUCGCAGCGGUUCUGACGUGCAAAUCGAUCGUCAAAUUUGGGCAUAGGGGCGAAAGACUAAUCGAACUAUCUAGUAGCUGGUUCCUGCCGAAGUUUCCCUCAGGAUAGCAGUAACGUUUUCAGUUUUAUGAGGUAAAGCGAAUGAUUAGAGGCCUGGGGGUUGAAACAACCUUCACCUAUUCUCAAACUUUAAAUAUGUAAGAAGUCCUUGUUACUUAAUUGAACGUGGACAGUUGAAUGUAUCGUUACUAGUGGGCCAUUUUUGGUAAGCAGAACUGGCGAUGCGGGAUGAACCGAACGCGGGGUUAAGGUGCCAGAAUAUACGCUCAUCAGACACCACAAAAGGUGUUAGUUCAUCUAGACAGCAGGACGGUGGCCAUGGAAGUCGGAAUCCGCUAAGGAGUGUGUAACAACUCACCUGCCGAAUGAACUAGCCCUGAAAAUGGAUGGCGCUCAAGCGUAUUACCCAUACCCCGCCGCUGGGGCAAGAUUUAAGCCCCAGCGAGUAGGCAGGCGUGGAGGUCCGUGACGAAGCCUG